AAACAAGCCCAAACUCCAGAGCCUCGCAGAUCCUUAGCAGCCUGUAUUGAAAUGUUAGAACCUCAGACAAGGGUGACCAGCUGAAAGGGUGAGCUUCUCAGGUCUGCUGUGCAAACUCUCACUGUGGCUGCCAGUUGUACAGAUGGGACUGAGGGACAGGUCAGCAAGAGGCACAAGUAACAUCAACUGUAUGAAAUCUCAUUACUGUAAAGCUCUAACGUGGGACACCAGCGCUGUUCUGCAGAAGGCACUUCAGACAACACAGAAAGAGUUCCUGAAAUGGCUGAGAUGAUGCCUGUCUCUACUGACCCCAGCCCCACAGCUCACCAAUACAUCUGGCCCUGGUCCCUGAGUUAACACUCAUAGUGUAAAUGUUUGUGCCUUCUUAAAUUCCUGUGUUAAA